GGGACACCCUUCUGGGGCAAGACUUGCUUCAGUGGGGCUUUGGUGCUCACUGAGUCUGCCCCCUGAGUGUGUCCCU
rfam:Myotis brandtii contig272176, whole genome shotgun sequence.